rnacentral:rRNA from 1 species
GUGUCAGCAGCCGCGGUAAUACGAGGGGUGCAAGCGUUAUUCGGAUUAAUUGGGCGUAAAGGGUGCGCAGACGGUUUGUUAAGUCACUUGUUAAAUUCCUCGGCCUAACUGAGGGUGUGCGGGUGAUACUGGCGAACUAGAGGGUGGAAGAGAGAAGUGGAAUUCUCGGAGUAGCGGUAAAAUGCGUAGAUCUCGAGAGGAACACCAAUGGCGAAGGCAGCUUCUUGGUCCACAUCUGACGUUCAUGCACGAAAGCGUGGGGAGCAAACAGGAUUAGAUACCCUGGUAGUCC